UGGGCUAUAGCCAAGCGGUAAGGCAACGGACUUUGACUCCGUCAUUCGUUGGUUCGAAUCCAGCUAGCCCAGUCA
rnacentral:tRNA from 2 species